CCCUUAGACGUUCUGGGCCGCACGCGCGCAACACUGACCAGUGCAACAAGCAUCCGUCCUUGGCCGACAGGCCCGGGCAAUCUUUGAACGCUGGUCGUGAUGGGGAUAGACUUUUGCAAUUUUUGGUCUUCAACGAGGAAUUCCUAGUAAACGCAAGUCAUCAACUUGCAUUGAUUACGUCCCUGCCCUUUGUACACACCGCCCGUCGCACCUACCGAUUGAAUGGUCCGGUGAAGCCUCCGGAUUGGCGCGCACCUCGGUGCCGCCGAGAAGUUGGCUAAACCUUACCAUUUAGAGGAAGGUGAAGUCGUAACA
rnacentral:rRNA from 1 species